rnacentral:rRNA from 1 species
GGUUUUGGAAAACGCCCCGGGACCAAAACAUAA